AUGGCCGCCGCCGACCCCAACUGGAUGAUGCUCGACCGCUUCGUCUUCCGCAGGGAUCCCGCCGAGUCCUCCAUCGAAGACCGCAUCUAUUCCUUCUCGGCCAGCCACAUCGCCGGGUCCGUCCCCUUCACCGUCGCUUUCCGCGUCCUCAGCCCCCCGGAGAUCUCCCGCCUCUGCCUGAAGUGGCCGCCUCUGCUAUAUCCAAUGAAUGGUUCUUCGUGCGAUCUCGUGGCGGCGCACGACAACCUCCUCCUGAUCAGCCUCACCUCCAGCCCCGGGACUGUGAACAUGUACAAGUCCCCAGUUUACCCGCAGGAACACUUCAUCUGCAGAGCCUCCACCUCGCCGUCUCAGCCGUCGCUGACGCUCCACAAGAUCCCCAUGUGUACGGAACCGUUGGUCGUGCGUGGGAACAAGGACAAGGUGAUAACUACACAGCGCUCAUUUCAUCCUCACACUGUCGGUAUCUUGUGCCGUGGUGAUGAAGAGUUCGCCGUGGCGCAGCUGAGCUUAAGUAGACCCAAUCUAGUAGCCCGUAUGCAAGCUGACCUGUGCGUGCUCCGCUCCAGUGUACACAACUGUGAUCACAAGUGGGAGGUUGAGCAGCAGCUACCGAUCCAGUGCAAGUUCUCCGAAUCAUCUGACUUGAUCUAUUGGAAAACUGACACAGUCAUCCCUUUCAAGACUGCUCUGUACUGGGUCGACUUCUGCAGCGGAGGUAUGCUAUUCUGUGAUGUCUUCCAGAAAAGGCCUGCAAUCUCUUACCUUCAAUUGCCUAUUUGUAACCGAAAUCCUGGUUAUGAAGUACGCCCAUUUCAUGAUAUGCUCCGUUCUGUGUGCAUCACCAAAGGCGGCCAGGAGCUCAACUUCAUUGAUGUCGUCCGUGAGGAUGAAAAUGGGGAUGGAAUCGACAACGUUUCUGUGGUUACUGUUGAUAUGAAAGCCAAGGAAAUGGUGUCGAGUCAUCCUUACAUUAAGGGUAAUGAAGACCUCCUGGGCAAAGACGCGGAUAUGGUCAGACGAAAGUCCCAUCUUCUCCAGCCAUUUAUUUCCUCCAGGCUUCCAGAGUUCUUCAAUCGCGCCAGGGAGAAAGUGAUCACGGAACUCUUGGACAACCGAAUCCACUGA
rnacentral:rRNA from 1 species